rnacentral:rRNA from 2 species
GGCAGCUAUACAUGCAGUCGAGCGAACUGAUUAGAAGCUUGCUUCUAUGACGUUAGCGGCGGACGGGUGAGUAACACGUGGGCAACCUGCCUGUAAGACUGGGAUAACUCCGGGAAACCGGAGCUAAUACCGGAUAACAUUUUCUCUUGCAUAAGAGAAAAUUGAAAGAUGGUUUCGGCUAUCACUUACAGAUGGGCCCGCGGUGCAUUAGCUAGUUGGUGAGGUAACGGCUCACCAAGGCAACGAUGCAUAGCCGACCUGAGAGGGUGAUCGGCCACACUGGGACUGAGACACGGCCCAGACUCCUACGGGAGGCAGCAGUAGGGAAUCUUCCGCAAUGGACGAAAGUCUGACGGAGCAACGCCGCGUGAGUGAUGAAGGCUUUCGGGUCGUAAAACUCUGUUGUUAGGGAAGAACAAGUACAAGAGUAACUGCUUGUACCUUGACGGUACCUAACCAGAAAGCCACGGCUAACUACGUGCCAGCAGCCGCGGUAAUACGUAGGUGGCAAGCGUUAUCCGGAAUUAUUGGGCGUAAAGCGCGCGCAGGCGGU